AUGAGGAAAUGGCUCCACACAAACACCAAUCCUGAGGUUGCUGCAACAACUCGGAUAAUCUAUGGAGGAUCUGUAAAUGGUGCAAACUGCAAGGAAUUGGCUGCUCAGUCUGAUGUCGAUGGAUUUUUGGUCGGUGGAGCUUCUCUGAAGCCGGAGUUCAUUGACAUUAUCAAUUCUGCUACGGUGAAGAAAAAUGCCUGAUCUUGUUUUAUGCAUGUCAUGCUGGGUCGAGGAAGCUUUCAUUUUGGGAGGUAUAGAAUUCAGUGCAUACUUUUCUGAGGAAUAAGUUAUGCCUUUGUGUUUAGAUAAGCAGUUGUUACUGAAGUUUGUUCAGGAAUAAAUCUUCCUCUUUCUUUUACCAUGCCUAAUUUAUGCUUAGGUGCAUGUGCUCUCGUUUUC